rnacentral:rRNA from 1 species
UUGGAGGGCAAGUCUGGUGCCAGCAGCCGCGGUAAUUCCAGCUCCAAUAGCGUAUAUUAAAGUUGUUGCAGUUAAAAAGCUCGUAGUUGAAUUUCGGGAUCAAUGUUUCGGUCAUGCCGUUGGUAUGUACUGAUAUUAUUGGUUUCUCACCUUCUAAGGAACCGUAAUGCCAUUAAUUUGGUGUCACGGGGAAUUAGGACUGUUACCUUGAAAAAAUUAGAGUGUUUAAAGCAGGCUCACGCUUGAAUACAUUAGCAUGGAAUAAUGAAAUAGGACAUCCGAUUCUAUUUUGUUGGUUUCUAGGAUCGAUGUAAUGAUUAAUAGGGAUAGUUGGGGGCAUUAGUAUUCAAUUGUCAGAGGUGAAAUUCUUGGAUUUAUUGAAGACUAACUACUGCGAGAGCAUUUGCCAAGGAUGUUUUCAUUAAUCAAGAACGAAAGUUAGGGGAUCGAAGACGAUCAGAUACCGUCGUAGUCUUAACCAUAAACUAUGCCGACUAGGGAUCGGAUGAUGUUAAUUUUUUAAUGACUCAUUCGGCGCCUUACGGGAAAC